GAAACAAAAAUUCUAACAUGCCCACUGAACAUGAGGCAUAUGAAGUUGGAAAUCUGGAAAUUACCUAGAUCCCCAUUUCCCUGAGUGAAUACAAAAUAAGGAAUGAUUCAGAAAUGCCUGGACAGCUUUUGAGGGCUAAGUGGCCCAGGCCCUCAGCAGUCUGUUUGCAUGAGUGAUCAAGAAACAUCCUGGAAGAUAAGUCAAUCGGAGCCAGAACAAGAGAGAAGAAAAAGAGCAGAUGACAAAAAGAUUUCUUGAGAGCACACACGGAUCAGCACCAGCCUCCCAGGCUCCCAUGUUUGGAGGAGAAUCUGAGGGGUCUAGAAGGUCUCAAUGGGGAGGGGGUCAGUGAAAUAAAAAGACAAACACUA